rnacentral:rRNA from 1 species
UUUAAGGUCUAACCUGCCCAAUGAGGAUUUAAAUGGCCGCAGUAUUUUGACUGUGCAAAGGUAGCAUAAUUAUUAGUUUUUUAAUUGAAAGCUUGUAUGAAGGGUUGGACGAGAUAAAAUCUGUCUUUAUUUAAAUUAGAGUAUAACUUAACUUUUAAGUCAAAAGGCUUAAAUGUUUAUAAAAGACGAGAAGACCCUAUAGAUCUUUAUUUAUUUAAGAUUUUAAUAAUUUAGGAUUAUUUUAAUUUGAAGUUUUAAAUAAAUUUUAUUGGGGUAAUAUAAAGAUUAAAUAAAUUCUUUUUAUUUAUUACAUUGAUUUAUGAAUAUAUGAUCCAUUAAUACUGAUUAUAAGAUUAAGUUACCUUAGGGAUAACAGCGUAAUUUUUUUGGAGAGCUCAUAUCGAUAAGAAAGUUUGCGACCUCGAUGUUGGAUUAAAAAUUAGCUUGGGUGCAGAAGCUCAAGAUUUUGGUCUGUUCGACCAUUAAAUUUUUACAUGAUCUGAGUUCAGACCGGCGUAAGCCAGGUCGGUUUCUAUCUUUAUUUAAAUAAAAUGUUUUAGUACGAAAGGACCAAAU